CAGAAUGCUGCCGCGUAAACAAACAUGGCGUCGCCCGUGCCUGAAUGACAACCCACAACUUUAAGACCAAGUAUUAAAACCAAUGGAAGCCUAUGGGCCCCCUAGUGGAUUUUGGUGGUAGGGCGGCUAAAAAACUCACAUACCCCUCCAAGAAUAAUGUGCUGUAUCAUGACCAAACUUGAUACAACACUUGGUGACCCUUUGUUCAUUAGGUCCAAAGUCUGGUGAAACUGAGGCUCAUGUGCACUCACUUGGUUUGGUAAACUUGUACAAAAAAGUCACUUUAACACAAACACAAGUAUAUACUAUAAAUUCAUUUCACUUUAUUUAAAAUCUUGUUCGAAACUGAAAUGACUGAUGAAGCCCCUCCCAAUUUCAGCCCCUCCCUCUCAGGUAGAUAUAAACGAGGAGACCCCACAGGACCAGUCACCCACUUUCUGCUAGAACAUCCGACGCAGAUUUCUUUUGAUGCAGUUUUUGGAUUUUGAAAAACCUUCUUCUUCAAUCAAGAAUGGCUUCUCAAAGGUUGUUGGCUACAAUAUGAUUUGGCAGUGCUGAUCUCAACGAUUCGGUCCCUCUCUCUGCAUACGAGGUAGAAGGCUCACUUCUGUUGACUCCCAAGAGAUUCAUACAAGUAAAACAGAACUGAGUCUUACCAGUGCAUAAUGGCAGCUGGAUCCGCACAACCCUUGAUCCUUCGUGUUGUUGAGCCAGACCAGGCUAGAAAAUUUAAACUCUGUUCACGACCAACCUCUGUUGAUGCACUGAUUGCAGUAAUUAAAGAACAACUGGAAAUAGACCAUGACUUCAGUUUAAAAUAUGAAGACCCUUACUUUGAUGGAAACUUGCUUCUCUCUCUGCAUGUCACAUUUGAGCAAGAUUCCAGCUCUCAUUCAUCAGCCGAAACAAUCUCAAGUGUAUCAUCCUCAGAACGUGGGAGCAGAUGGCCUUCAGUUCUUUUUCCAAUUCCAACAUUUUCUUUUGAUGUUGAACUGAAACUUCGAGAAAGUAAUGCCCAAUUUGAGAAGAACCACAAUCACCUUCAGUUAACAAGAGAUGUAAAGCAUGACAUUUUAGAAAAGUUAGCAUACUCGAUGUAUGGCUACAAGGCUUAUCCCAGUGAUGAGGAGAUAGCAAUGGUAGCUGAGGCUCUUGUGGGAAAAUAUCCUUGCUUGAAGGAAGUAGGAUCUGAGACUGGGUGGAAGAACAGCCUCGAGUUUAAGAUGGGAAACUACAGGAGCAAGAUGAGUAGGGCUGGAUGUCCAGAGAUCACUGUUAAUGCAGGAAAAAGAAGUAGAAUGAAUCCUGACAGUGAAUCUUCACAUUCAAAUAUUAAAAGGGCCAAACCAGCAGAAGUAAACUUUCUGCCAAACUUUCCCCAGGGAGAGAAUCCCUCUACUCUUGAACAGUUUAGGCAGAAACUCGUUGAUGAAAUGAAGAAAGCUGAGAAGAACUUUGUGCUUUAUAAGAAAGAUGAUGCAGACAACAUUAUCCCGGCGGCGACAGACCGAAGUGAGCACAUGCCCACCAGUGAAAGACCUCAUUGAACUCUGGCCUGCACUCAAAAUGGAGUCUGAGAGUUCCAACGAAUUACAAACCAGAACCUGCCCAACACAUUGUACUCUGAGCUUCACAGACAUCUUCCAAGACUGAUGACCCUGCUCAUACAGAAGGCAGCCAAAACCGGGCAGACAUCAGAUGCUCUGUCUGAAAUCCUAAGAAUCUGUGAUGAACAGGAGCUUCAUAACGUACACACCAAGCGUACAACUGUUCUUCAUGCCCUUCCUGUGUAUUCACAUGAGGACGUCUCUGGGUUCUUCAGGACCUGCACAGUGAGCAUUUAAAAAGAAUGUACGCUACCAUAUUAAGUAAACUGUUAAUAUAAAUACAGUUAUGCUUACUUGCACAUUUACCCUUGUUCAGACUCUCCAAUCAUAUAGUUCAUGCAAUUUGAAGAGAUUUGAUUUGUUUUCUUUGACCUCACUAUAGAUUGACCUUAGUACUAGACCGCUUUAAACAAGAGGAGGUGUUUUCUUUAUAGGUUUUUUCAGCAUAUUAUCAAUCUCUUGCAACUUUGGUUUACUGGUAGCUUGGCUGACUCCUGUAGAACACUGAUAUUCUGUUUUCUCAUCCUCAUGUGUAGUUUGUUAACACAACUCUCAAAAUCACAGAACUUUCUGUCUGUUGGUCUGCAGCAUAAUUGUUGUUAAAUCUAUGUCAUGACUAGCUAUAUGCCAGUAUUUGUCAAAAAAUGUAAUAUUUAUUUUUACCUUCAGUAUUUGUAGCCAUGUGUAACCAGUUUUUGCUUUAAUAUCACACAUCUGAUGAACCACUGCUUUUAGAUGUUGCAGUGGCCCUCCUUACAGUCGUCACAGAUAAUGACACAAGUCCAGUUCACUUCCAGCCUGUGAAAAUCUCUGUUGUCAUGAAAGCGAGAUUGUGGUCAAUCUCUCUAGAUUUGCUGAUGCCUUCCUGGUAAUGUUUGGACUGAUCUAGGCACUACACCUCAGCUAUCCCAGGGCACUGACCAACACUUGUGAAUUCACUCAGAAAUUUUACUUGUCUUAAGAUGGUAAACUGUCACCCAAGUUACGGAGUCUCAGAAAUGACUUGAUGCGUAUGUAGAAAUAUACAGAUAUAUGUUUCUACAGAUAUGUAUCUGGAAAAUGUUGUAAAGCCUGGCAGUUCCUCUGUAGUUCAAUGCUGGUUGUUUCUUUGAAAAUAACGCCUUAAAGGGUUUCUGUGUUUUAUGUGGGUUUUCUCCACAAUAUGCACAAUGUGCCUUUGUAUUUAUAAAUGUUAUUUGGUAUUAAUAAGCUCUUGUUCUUGA